rnacentral:tRNA from 1 species
GAGGGUAUAGCUCAAGUGGUAGAGUGCAUGCUUAGCAUGCACGAGGUCCUGGGUUCAAUCCCUAGUACCUCUU